rnacentral:rRNA from 1 species
AUCUGAAAUCAGGCGGGAUUACCCGCUGAACUUAAGCAUAUCAAUAAGCGGAGGAAAAGAAAAUAACAAUGAUUUCCCUAGUAACGGCGAGUGAAGAGGAAAGAGCUCAAAGUUGGAACCUAUUUGGCUUAGCUAAAUCGGAUUGUAAACUGUAGAAGUGUUUUCCAGACACGCCUGGUAAAAAAGUCCUUUGGAACAGGGCAUCAUAGAGGGUGAGAAUCCCGUCAUUGGCCAGAGCUGUUGUCUUUUGUGAUACAUUUUCAAAGAGUCAGGUUGUUUGGGAAUGCAGCCUAAAUUGGGUGGUAAAUCUCACCUAAAGCUAAAUAUUUGCGAGAGACCGAUAGCGAACAAGUACCGUGAGGGAAAGAUGAAAAGAACUUUGAAAAGAGAGUUAAACAGUAUGUGAAAUUGUUAAAAGGGAACCGUUUGGAGCCAGACUGGCUUAAUCGUAAUCAAUCUAGGCUUUGGCCUGGAUGCACNUGCGGUUUAUGCCGGCCAACGACAGUUUUGUUUGGGAGAAAAAAUUACAUUGAAUGUGGCCCCUCGGGGUGUUAUAGCUUUGUAAAAAAUAUCCUGGACUGGACUGAGGAACGCAGUGAAUGCCUUUAGGCAAGAUUGCUGGGUGCUUUCGCUAAUAAAUGCUAGAAUNUNNGCUUCGGGUGGUGCUAGUGUUUANUCUUGGUC